rnacentral:tRNA from 1 species
GCGGGUAUAGCUAAGAGACAGAGCACUUGGCUUUUAACCAAUGGGCCGAGAUUUCGAAAUUCUCUGCCCGCACCA